rnacentral:rRNA from 1 species
UUCGGAGGCACCUGCACAGGUGCUGCAUGGCUGUCGUCAGCUCGUGUCGUGAGAUGUUGGGUUAAGUCCCGCAACGAGCGCAACCCUUAUCCCCAGUUGCCAUCAGGUAAAGCUGGGAACUCUGGGGAGACUGCCGGUGAUAAACCGGAGGAAGGCGGGGAUGACGUCAAGUCCUCAUGGCCCUUACAUCCCGGGCUACACACGUGCUACAAUGGCAGGUACAGAGGGCUGCAAAGCCGCGAGGUAGAGCGAAUCCCAGAAAACCUGUCUCAGUCCGGAUUGAAGUCUGCAACUCGACUUCAUGAAGGCGGAAUCGCUAGUAACCGCGAAUCAGCAGGUCGCGGUGAAUACGUUCCCGGGCCUU